rnacentral:rRNA from 1 species
UACGGGGGGAGCAAGCGUUGUUCGGAUUUACUGGGCGUAAAGGGCGCGUAGGCGGUCGUGACAAGUCACUUGUGAAAUCUCCGGGCUUAACUCGGAACGGUCAAGUGAUACUGUCGGACUAGAGUACAGAAGGGGCAACUGGAAUUCUCGGUGUAGCGGUGAAAUGCGUAGAUAUCGAGAGGAACACCUGCGGCGAAGGCGGGUUGCUGGGCUGACACUGACGCUGAGGCGCGGAAGCUAGGGGAGCGAACGGG